rnacentral:rRNA from 1 species
UACGUAGGGUGCAAGCGUUGUCCGGAAUCAUUGGGCGUAAAGAGCGUGUAGGCGGCCCGGUAAGUCCGCUGUGAAAGUCCAGGCUCAACCCUGGGAUGCCGGUGGAUACUGUCGGGCUCGAGUCCGGAAGAGGAGUGUGGAAUUCCUGGUGUAGCGGUGAAAUGCGCAGAUAUCAGGAGGAACACCAAUGGCGAAGGCAGCACUCUGGGACGUGACUGACGCUGAGACGCGAAAGCGUGGGGAGCAAACAGGAUUAGAAACCCUAGG